GACGAACGCUGGCGGCGUGCUUAACACAUGCAAGUCGAACGGAAAGGCCCUGCUUUUGUGGGGUGCUCGAGUGGCGAACGGGUGAGUAACACGUGAGUAACCUGCCCUUGACUUUGGGAUAACUUCAGGUAACUGGGGCUAAUACCGGAUAGGAGCUCCUGCUGCAUGGUGGGGGUUGGAAAGUUUCGGCGGUUGGGGAUGGACUCGCGGCUUAUCAGCUUGUUGGUGGGGUAGUGGCUUACCAAGGCUUUGACGGGUAGCCGGCCUGUGAGGGUGACCGGCGACAUUGGGACUGAGAUACGGCCCAGACGCGUACGGGAGGCAGCAGUGGGGAAUAUUGCACAAUGGGCGGAAGCCUGAUGCAGCAACGCCGCGUGCGGGAUGACAGCCUUCGGGUUGUAAAACGCUUUAGCCUGUGACGAAGCGUGAGUGACGGUAAUGAGUAAAGAAGCACCGGCUAACUACGUG
rnacentral:rRNA from 1 species